AUUGAACGCUGGCGGCAGGCCUAACACAUGCAAGUCGAACGAGUGGCGGACGGGUGAGUAAUGUCUGGGAAACUGCCCGAUGGAGGGGGAUAACUACUGGAAACGGUAGCUAAUACCGCAUAUCAUCGGAUGUGCCCAGAUGGGAUUCGCUAGUAGGUGGGGUAACGGCUCACCUAGGCGACGAUCCCUAGCUGGUCUGAGAGGAUGACCAGCCACACUGGAACUGAGACACGGUCCAGACUCCUACGGGAUGCAGCAGUGGGGAAUAUGGCGCAAGGGGCGAAAGCCUGAUACAGCCAGGCCGCGUGUAUGAAGAAGGCCUUCGGGUUGUAAAGUACUUUCAGCGGGGAGGCGUUACUCGCAGAAGAAGCACCGGCUAACUCCGUGCCAGCAGCCGCGGUAAUUC
rnacentral:rRNA from 1 species